rnacentral:lncRNA from 1 species
AGUGUGUGGAGUGAAGGGAGAGUCUCCGGACAUGAGAAGAGCUGCUCUGAGCAGUGUGGCGGCCGUUUUUGUUUCCUUUCUCUUUCUCCUCCUGGGGCUAGGCAGACACCGGGCACAAAGAAGGAAACAGGCCUUCUGUGAGUGCAGCAGCAAUCAAUAAAGAAGCAGCCCAGAGCGGCCAUCCCUCUUCUGUCUGCUGUGACGCUCCGGCCCAGGAGCACCAGAGGAGGGGGACUUCAUCUGACUUGUUCAGCACUGUCUCCCAGGCCCUGGCACAGAGGGAGCACUCGAUACACACCGAUGGGCUGAAGGUGUGAAUGGAUCUGGGGACUAGAGUGAUGGUUAUUUGGCAGACAGCAUGCCCCGCCUGGGCAGUAGCCGUGAAGACUCUUCUUUUCCUCUCCUCGCCUGCACUCUUUAGGAUUGAACAGCAUUGGUUCAAUGCAUAUUCUGGGAGCACAGAGAAAAAAGGGAUCAAGUUCCACCAUUAUGCAAAAGGGACUCCUGUAAGCCAGGUGAAGAAGGGGCAAGGCCCUUCUUGGUCAGCAGGGAUAAGGCAGUUGUGUAUGGGAGAGCAUGCGAGGAGGGCGAGGGCUGGGGGAGAUGGAGCAGGAACAUUUGGUUGGGGCUCUGAGGCACUCUUCUGCUUGGGGAGUGUGUGGGCAAAGGCAGGGGCUGUGCAGGAAGGAUUUAGCUAAAGCCAUAAAGCUGGAAGAGGGUUUGGGGAACGGCUUUGAAGUUACAUUUGUUUUGCAAGUUCUUUGUUUUUAUUAAUGUUUGCAUGUUAUUUGGGUAGCUGUAGGGAGUAGGUUUUCGGGGAGUUAAAGUGCACUCUCUCACCCCUCCUUCAGUCCUACUACUGCCCCUAGAUACACAAUCACCUCAAGUGACUUUCACGUCACCAGGAAUGGGCAAAGUCUAGAUUUUGGAACAGAAAAUAUUUUAGGUCCCCGUCCCUCUCUGUAACCAAUAACCAAUGCCAUAUAAAUGGAAAAGUAUAAA